rnacentral:rRNA from 1 species
UACGAAGGGGGCUAGCGUUGCUCGGAAUCACUGGGCGUAAAGGGUGCGUAGGCGGGUCUUUAAGUCAGGGGUGAAAUCCUGGAGCUCAACUCCAGAACUGCCUUUGAUACUGAAGAUCUUGAGUUCGGGAGAGGUGAGUGGAACUGCGAGUGUAGAGGUGAAAUUCGUAGAUAUUCGCAAGAACACCAGUGGCGAAGGCGGCUCACUGGCCCGAUACUGACGCUGAGGCACGAAAGCGUGGGAGCAACAG